rnacentral:lncRNA from 1 species
GUGCUGUGAGUGGCUUCUGUAUAGGGCGCAGGCGUCUAGAAUAGGCGAAGGUUGGUGGUGCCCAAAACCUCAGAGAUGCCAGCAAUCGCGGAGCCCCAAGUGGUGUUACAGCUCUUGCUUGGGGAGUCCCAAGGUUUGGGCCCCAAGAAAAGUUGCAGCUCUUUACUCUCGUAGCUCAGCCAGUGGGAGCGUGUUAUAGCUGUCUUUCUCCUGUAGUCCGGUGAGCAGGAAUGUGUUAUAGCUCUUUCAUUCCAGCCGCCCACAGCUGAGUGAGUUCCAAGUUCUUGUCCUGUGACCAAGAGGAAUAAGGUGUGUGGACACUGGAGAGUAAGUAAGGCAGAGAAGAAUUUUAUUGAGCGACAGAAGGAAAGCCCUCAACUGUGAAAAGGGACCCUGAAAGUGGGUUGUCAUCUGUGAGGCUGAGUCUGGGCUUGUCUGGGUUUACAAUGGGAGAAUGUGUGCUGAUUGGUCCAUAGGUGUUCUUUGAAAAAAUCACCAUCCAAUUGGUUAAAAAGCAUCAUCCGGAAGGAACCAAUCAAGAGAGAGAAGGUCUGAUAAAUUGACCCCAGUGCUCAUCUAUUAAUUCAAAAGAAGCUUUGUGCUUGCAUCAGCGCUGCCUGACACAGGGGAAAAUGAGAAAUGCGGCCAUUGAUAUACAGAGAACGGCAAUGUGGCUAAACUGAAGAGAGUAGGCUUUUGGCCAGCUACUUCCAACAUGGCUCAUUUCAAAUUCUCACUUGU